AGAAAGCCAACGAACGCUAAGAUGACCAGAGAAAAGGGGAAAACUGUAACACAGUCGAAGUUUUCCAAGAGGCUCUGGCUGCAGACACAUGGGGAAAGUGGAGCUCCACUCCAGACCGGAAACACGUGACCUCCACCGAAGACGUCAUCUCUACUUUUAUGUAGAACUAUGGGGCGACGAAACCAUUUAUUUUGACCGCAAUUAAAUGUUUAUUAAAUAAGAUUGUUUUUAGGUUAUGGAAUUUGUUCACACAUACAAACACAGAGCAAAACGACCAUCUGGAAGACGGAGAAAACAUGUGAGUAACACUUUUACCUUUAGGAAAUCAUCACUAACACAACUGUAAAUGUAAAAUACAGCCAUAACUCCCACAAAACUGUCAAAUAAGUUUAUUUUUAACUGCGUGAACCUCGGAGAUUUGAGCUAAAAGUUUGAUUAGUAAUCUGCAGCUAACGCGAUGAAAAGUCAGCUCAAACUUUCAUAUUUGGACACAUUUCCAUCAAACACUCAUCAUGUUUUUACUGUUUGGGGUAAAGAAGCUCACAGAUGAUUUAAUGAAGCUACGAGGAGAAAACGCCGCAUUUUCACGCACAGUGACUGGGUUAAACUUGUAAACACUUGGCCAGUAUAAGUGUAAGUGCGCUUCCUGUAUGAGAACACAACACACUGCUGGGGCCACAGAACUGUUGGCUGAUGAGACGCUCAUGAUUCAUGAAAUGGGUCAAAUGCAGAUGACAAAGAAAAGUGACACUGAGCAGGAGGUGUGACCCAGACUCUGCCUCUGUUUAGGUUUUCACUCUGCAGACAGAAAUUUCAACCAGUCAGACUUAAGGCCCAUUCUGCUCUUCCUCCUCCAGAAGACGAGAGACACAUCAGACUGAAUGAUCCAAGUCCACUGGGUCAUGUCUCCACUGUCCAUGUCCAG